rnacentral:rRNA from 1 species
AUUGAACGCUGGCGGCAGGCCUAACACAUGCAAGUCGAGCGGAUGAAGGGAGCUUGCUCCUGGAUUCAGCGGCGGACGGGUGAGUAAUGCCUAGGAAUCUGCCUGGUAGUGGGGGAUAACGUCCGGAAACGGGCGCUAAUACCGCAUACGUCCUGAGGGAGAAAGUGGGGGAUCUUCGGACCUCACGCUAUCAGAUGAGCCUAGGUCGGAUUAGCUAGUUGGUGGGGUAAAGGCCUACCAAGGCGACGAUCCGUAACUGGUCUGAGAGGAUGAUCAGUCACACUGGAACUGAGACACGGUCCAGACUCCUACGGGAGGCAGCAGUGGGGAAUAUUGGACAAAGGGCGAAAGCCUGAUCCAGCCAUGCCGCGUGUGUGAAGAAGGUCUUCGGAUUGUAAAGCACUUUAAGUUGGGAGGAAGGGCAGUAAGUUAAUACCUUGCUGUUUUGGCGUUACCAACAGAAUAAGCACCGGCUAACUUCGUG